CCUUGGCUUCUCUGUUCUUAGUGCAUCUCAAAUGCCAGCAGGUCACCAUGUGGCCUCAGUGAAAUGCCACUAUGUCAGGCUGUGUCGAUUGAUGAUGGCAGUCACGUUAAAUGUAAUCAGGUGAAUUAACCUUUUGCCUGUGACGCUCAGACCAGUCCUGGACACCUCUGUGCCCUUGGCACUUUAGCUACAUGUGCAUGCGCGUGUCUGCUUUUGUAUGUUUUUGUUUAAUGCCAAAACUGUGUUUCAGACCUGGUCACUACCAAACAACACUGGCAAUAACAACAAGAGCUAGAAGACUUUAUUACCCUCAGAUUUAUGGGAAAAUGUAUAGAAACGCGUGAUAUAGAAACACCACUCGAAAAACCGAGAACAUAACUGCUCGACAAAAUGCAGAGGGCUAGCCCACAAGAAACAUAUCGUUAUUAAAAAGUGCCAUAUCCACAGUUAAAAACCUUACAAUAGAGAAAUAAUAUUAACUUUAUGAAUAAAGUACCACUGAGAAAUGAGAAUUCCUAUAUGAACACAGGUGUACAGUAUGACCGUUUCAAGCAACAGGAGUCAAUGCAAGUGAGCAAAAUAUAAUAGAGUAUGCCCAGUAUCCAAAGUGACAGAUUAUAGUGACAGCUGAUAUUGAAACCACUUGGGUUUUUUAGUUUAUAAUGACUGAAUCUAAUAUGUUUCUCUUUGUAACCAAAAUAUGUCUCUAUUAACAUAAACACUGUUAGGAAUUUGAACCUUGAAAUCAAAGAAAAACAUCUUAUUCCAUAAUUUCCUUAUUGGAUAUUUGUUGUUGCUUUUAGGCUCAUGAGAGAUACGGAGCUCCUGACACACCGUUUAAGAUCUGUAGAUGAGUGCACUGCUUGAAUGCAGAUUAGACAUGAGAUAAAUUCAGCUUUUUUCACGAAAAUAAACACGGUGAAGUCGAUGCCUGAUAUGAAACCCUGGGCGGACUCCUCCUGGUCUCCUCACAGAUGUCACUGCUUUUUAAUGUACACCCUCCUCCUAGUGGAGAGAUGCGAUAUCAAACAUGCUGCUCAACAUGAAUUUGAACUCAUCCUCACAUAAUCUGAGCAGUUAUAAAAUCUCACAUUGUGAGAGGCGUGUGCCUGUGUGUGAGUUUGAAUUCUUCAAUCCUUCUUUUUUCAGCCUAUAUCAUGCCGCCAUAUGGUCCCACUGUUUUUACAGGGAGAGUCUGCCCUCUUGUGGUUUUAGCUUUUAUCACAGUUGAAUGAGAAGGAAAAUUGCACAAUCACCAAGUAUUAGUUCUUGGUGAAUUCUGUGAGAUGUAGGAAAUAUUAUUAGCAAGUCUGCAGAUAUUGCAGCUGCACAUUACUGCUGUGUUACCACAUCCCAAAGGAGUUGUGACAGGCUCGAAUCGGAGACAGAAGCCACUGAAGUCCACUUAACUCUUUCUCAUGUUCAUAAGAGCAGUUUCAGACAACUUGCAUCAUCAUACUGCGGGCAACCUUUGGAAGAUGCGCACGGUCAGCAGCAAUAUUCAAAUAAGCUUUGGCCUUUAAAGUAAAAUGAGUGGGAACAGCAACUGUUUACACAAGCCAGGUUGGGUCCAUAAAUUCAUGUGCUUGAAGCCAAAUUUUCUGAGCCUACCAUCUUCAGCCUCAGCAGAAACUGAGUUUGAUCUGACUGUCCUGUUUGUUGUGUCUUAGAAAGCCUGUGUCCACUGUAGUUUCACAUUUCUGUUUUUGGUUGACAACAAUGGAGCCCAACAUCAUUUUCUUCUGUUGAUGUGAGGUGAGGUGUGAGGUGUUUUGCAUCCUGACAUAAUCGGUGGUUUCACAGCUGUUGUAUCUGAUUCACCCAUUUUUCUCUGACCCAUGCACAACUACUGCUCAUUUGCAACAUGAUGGUUAAACUCCAGAAACUGUUUUGCUUGGAGAUCAACAGUUUCAAGAACACUAAAGCCACGAUCAAAGUCACUGAGUUUACAUUUUGUCCCCACCCUGAUGUUUCUGAGAAUACAUGACUUCUGACUUUAAUCUUUAACUUUUUAAUCAGAGUAUAGCAUCAAGUCAUUUAAACUUGUAGGAUCUGUGGAUUAGUUUCAGCUGCUUUGGUGUUAAUGAAAUUAACAACAGGUGCAAUAGAGCAGCAACAAUGAGACAACAACCAAAACAGGAGUGGUGGAGGCACAGGUAGAGGUGGAGGCCACUGACAUUUUUUCCCUCCUGAUCUUUUCUGACUACAUUUUCAUUUGACUAGGGCGAGUAUCAUUACUGGUAGUGAUACCUGGACCCUACAGAGGUUGUAGGAUGUAGUCCAACACCUCCAGGAUGGGGCAUCAACAUGUACCAUUGUCAGAAGGUUUGCUGUGUCCCCCGGCACAGUCUAAAAAACAUGGAGGUGAUUCCAGGAAGCAGGCAGUUACUCUAAGAGCUCGACAGGGCUGUAGAAGUUCCAAACCCAUCAGCAGGACUGGUAUCUACUCUUUUGUGCAAGGAUGAACAGGGUGAGCUCAGCAACAACGUGACCUCCAGCAGUACACUGGUGUGAAUGUCUCUGACCAAACAAUCAGAAACAGACUGAGUGUGGCCUGAGGGCAUUCGCCAUAGAAUACCAGAAUUGUCAGAUCCACCAGUGGCAGCCUGAGCUUUUCACAGAUGAGAGCAGGUUCGCCCUGAUGCUACCUGUAACACCGUUCAGCAUGACUGGUUUGGUGGUGGGUCAGUGAUGGUGUAGGGAGGCACAUCCAUGGAGGGACACACAACCCUUUACAGUUUAGGCAAAAACACCCUGACUGCCAGAUUUGGGAGGAGAUUCGCAGGACACCACCUAUUGUCUCAUUAGGAGCAUGUCCUGAUGUUGUCAGGAAUGCCAUACAAACUACUGAGCACCAUUUUGCAUACAAUUAAUUUUCAUUUUUAUUAAAUUACAUUAAAUGGCAUCAUUUUAUUUGUAAUGCAUUACCCAGUCCCCAGUAGUGGAGAUAUCCAGCAUGUUUUUAAAAAAAAAAUUGAGAUCUGAUAUGUUUUCAAAGUGUUCCUUUCAUUAUUUUUAGCAUUGCACAUUUGCAUGUACUUGAUUUCAUAGUUUAGUAAGGCUGCAACGACUCGUCACCAUAAUUGAUCACGCCUGUGUAUAAACAUUUGUACUCAGUUUCUUGUUAUCAGAAUUAACUAUAUUAACAUGAGUCUCUUAACCUUCCAACUAAUCCAAACACCACACCAAAGGUCAUUUAAAAAAUGUGGUUACUAGACACCUGAGAAAAAGUAUGAAAGACACUAGCCUAAUUUUCUUAUUUUUCAACAGGUUAUCUCAAUUUAAAAGCAUUAAACAGUCCCACUUACUUUAACCUCCUCUUGCCUUGGGCCAUAUCAUUGCUGUCUCAACUUCCUCAAAGGGUGUUCCCACACUAAAAUGCAACAAUAUAUCACUUCCGUUCCUCAUUUGAAAGAGAAAACCGGUUAUGACACAUGAGGUGCUAAAGCCUAAAAUUUCUCAGAGGGGGUCUUAAAGACUCUGUGUUGGACAUCUUGGCAACAAUAGUGAUGCACUGAUGGGAAAAUGCAUCUUGGUUUUGGCUGGCCUCCUAUAAAACCGCAGGGCAAAAAUGUCCAACAGUAACCCUUCACACGCUCCAUUUCUCACACCAUCUCUCCUGGAUAACUUUUUAAGGAUGACCACGAUACAGCUGGUGGGUGUGAAACAGCAUACGUUGUAUUCUCACAGUUUUUCUAUAUGUGCAAACUUCCUUUCAAACAUUUACUUUCACUUUGAAAGUGACCUUGCUAUAAAGGCAGUUUGUAAUACUUUGAGAAAAAAUAAAACGCUCCCCAGAUUAUGAGUCUUGUGUGCAUGUGGCUUGCGGCUGAGCUUGAGGUGGCCACAUCUCAACCAAUACCCGGCUUUAAGUACAACUCACUCUAUGCUUGGUCUUAUUCCGGCCAACUAUAAUGGGAAAUGUUUUCCACUCCAAGCUUUCCUGGAGCAGUGCGCAGUGCAUUUUAAUGUGUAGGUAUGUGUCUAAAAAACCCUAAAUGGAAGCAGAUGUUUUAGUCAAAAGAAUAAAAGUUUACAUGGGGUUGUAAUCAAGUGAGGGACUUUUCUUUCGUUUUCAGCUUCUUCUUUUUUUUCCCUCGUAGUAAUUUGAGUCUAUUUUUCUGUCAAAAUGAGCCUGGUGCGCUGCAUCGUGUGCAUGGCUGAACUGAGCUGGGUUGUGCUGAGCUAUGCAGCCACAUAUGGGAGCGAUUACAGUCCAGUGUUUAUCAGACCUUGCUGAGAGACCGACUGUGUGGCUGAGCAGAGCAGAACCAGCCAUGUGCAGAUGAUUUCAGUUCCCAGCCUACAACCUUGUAGGGGAAAUCAGACAAGUAAUACAAUAUAGCAAAACAGCGUGCGAUCGGGACUCCUGGGAGCAGAAACUGAAAUAACUGGUUAGUUUACCAGUCGGAUAAUUCAUUUAUAGGAAAUGUAUGCACGAUCAUUUCCAUACUAUAGUUAAAAAACAGGGAAGGUGCCAAAAUUCAAAGCCUCAAAGUGUGUUGACAGAUCUGCUGCAUAUGUGAAAACAGUUGUAUAAAGCUGCUCGUGUCUCCAGAGGGAGCUGUGUGAACUUGGAAAUGUAAUAUAAAAAAACAACAAAAACAAAUCGAGGGAUGUGGAGUCACCCAUGAGUGAAUGAAACUGUAAAAAUGUUUUAUAAAAAAAAGUAUGUAUAUAUAAUCUUACAUGUCAUAACACAUCUUAUUGUCAUGCAAGUAUUUCCAAAUGUUUUGAGCCACCCCUUCUUUAUAUUUUGCAGGGAAAUGGGAGAAAGGUGGCAUGACUUAUUGAAACAUAUGCAAGAAUUUGUGGGAAUGCAGUAUAUAAAGGCCAAAACAGAGUCUGUACAUCAUACUGAUGAUGAUUUCAACCAAAAGUCAUUUUUACUCAAUUUUGUGUGUAAUUUGACACAUCUCAGGCUUUUCUCCCUGUUUCCUUUCCUUAAGAAUGGCUUCUAGACAGCUAGCCAUACGUCAAGAUCAUUUGUGAUAAAGCUACAGUGAACAAUGGAUCAACUGAAAGCCCAGACACAUCUCUCAGACCCGUGACACCUGUCAAACACUGU